CUUUAGUUCUUUCUCAAGGAUUGUAGAUAAUAUUCUGAGCCACAUCUGUUGCUCAGUCGUGUCCGACUCUUGCGACCGCAUGGACCGCAGCCUGCCAGGCUCCUCUGCCCUUGGGAUUCUCCAGGCAAGAAUACUGGAGUGGGUUGCCAUUUCCUUCUCCAGAAGAUUAACUGUCUUAAAACAACCAAGGUGAUGCUAGUCAGACCACUGAUGACCAAUCUGAAGAUGACUGUUAGAGAUGACUGUGCUGUUUCUGGAUGUUGCCCACCUCCGACUCUGCCUGUAAACUUUCUC
ensembl:lncRNA